CUGCGGGCGUACCCAUUAAGUGUGACCCGUUACUGUGCGAGGCCUAGCCCGACUAGGAAGGUGGAGCGCAUGCGUGGUGUCUUAUCUUCUCCCUCACUCUCGGCUGGUUCAGUCACUCCCUGUCCCUUUUUCUUUGCUCUCUGUCUCCUGCUCUCCCCUCGCUGGCUAGGGUUUCUUUUGCUGGUGCUCGGAUUCAGUGACCCGCUGCUUGGAUCCGUGGGGAGAUCUGCUUUUUUCAGGCAUGGUCUGCCCUGUUUAUCGUUUCCCGGGUGCUCCGUGUGUGCCAGUUGCAUUUGCUGGCCAACACAUGUACAUCCCCUGCAAUCUGAGAAAUGUCUUAGCUGAGUAUAUUGAGGAGUAGAGAGACGAGGCUAGGACUCUGCAGUUCAAGAAGGCGGAGCCUGAACUUCUUAGGUUUGAAAGCAGGACUUACCCAGCCACAUUCAAGCACCGAGCAAACUACAGCAAGUUUGUUGGUAGUUCAUGGUUUGACUUCACCCAUGACUAUGGCCUGUGUGCUGGAGAUCUGUGUUUACGCCGGACCAUCUGACUUUUGAUGUGAAGAGCCAAACCUACCGUGGUGGUGAAAGAAUUCUCCCUCUGCCUUAUUUAAGUUAUCUCAAUGUUUUUUGAAACUUUCGUGAAUGUUAGUUAUUUUAAUUAAUCAAGUUGCAAGACUAUUUAUUUGAUGUUUUUCUGUAGCUUUUGAAAACCUAUCCGAUGCCAAUUAUGAGUAUGCUAUUUAUGUUGUAUUGCCGCGCAAGUUGUUGUUCAACUACCAUAAGAACCGCUACUUACUCCAUUGUCUUUUGUUGGGCAAUUUCCUGCGGUGUGUGCCUUUCAUCCAUGUCAUGACUCCCACUAACACAAUCAAGAAUAUCAUGAAAAUUCCAAAAAUUGUUGUGUCAAGCUUGAAGAGAUUCAUGGAUGUCCCUCUAAGUGCAUCUGUCACUCUUGAAUAUCUGGAUGAAGGUGUGCACGUCAUCACGUCAUUUCAUACACUUUGUGCAGACAAGAUGGGAGGAUGAUGUUCGAGAAGACAAGUUUCAAUGAGUUCAUAUCAGCAGCUUCUUUGGGUGAAGACAAUGUUGUGCUCAUCACAUUCAAAGAACGCAAUGAUCGCUCAGUUUCUGUUGUGUUCCAGCGGCUCAUGCAGGUGGAGUGUUGCGCGUUUAGAGUCUGAACUUUAGAUCGUUGAAACCCGAACUUUUUUAUGUGUAAUUAUCUAUGACUCUAUGGUUAGUUGUCUAGAUGACUGUUUGAUGAUAGAGGUAGUGGUGCCUCUACGUAUCCAAGUUCAGACUUUAUACUUUUGGAUGCAAGGAUUACCGAACGGUAUAUCUUUUGAUGGUUAAUAUGUCAAGUUUUAAGGAACUGUAUGGUUGAAAUGAUGCUUGUACUUAGAUUUUUGUUGAUGCUUUUAACUUAUGCUUCUUGUUUAAAUGUUUUUUCUUUUUGAUUAUUUAUUUUUAUAUUUUUAAUUAUUUUUUGGGUGGUCAACUUGUUUUUUAUUGAUCUUUUGAUUAUAGAUCAUAUCAAUUAGUUGGUUCAGUACCACCCUAUAUUUAUUAUUUAUUAUUAUUCUUUUUUCACCUGAUUUUAUGUUUUCUUAUUUAAAAACAUUUUGUAGAAAAAAAAUAAAUUUUUCAAUUGAUUUGAAGGUUUUUUUCUAAAUCCAUGUCUUUAAUUUGGCUUAUCACUUUUUUUAGUGCAGCUGUCUAUUUUUGUGCUUCGAGAUUCGUGCUAGCUUUUUUUUAUGUUUCUAUGAGGCUGGCGUUGGAGGCGUGCUUGAGUCAACUGGUUGUGGACAUUACCCCCAACCUCUGACGUCAACCAAAUUCAAAUUUCCAUACCUCUUUCUUCUCCCCUAGCGCGCUCUUCUCCGCUUCUGUCGCCAUUGUGUCUCCAGCCGCGACUGCUGCCACCACCAUUGCGCUUCUCGGCGGAUCAAUUCCGGCAUCAAAAGAGCUAGUUGCCCCAGGGACCUCCAGGGAGAUGGCUAGCGAUAUACAUAACUUGGAUGACACUGAUGAUGAUUACUAUGCUUUUGCUGAAGAUUAUUCUCUAGUGUCACAGUCGCAAUUUCAUGAUGGAUGUUUUGAUUCCCUAAAUGUUGGUGGUGGCGAUCCUCAGUUUGACGUCGAGACUUUCCUACAUAACCUUCGCCACAUGUUUUAUUCAUCUAAAAGGGAUGGCGGUUCUGAACCUAAUGAAGUUGUAAGUUUCAUUUUCCAUGAGUACUUUAUGUUUUUGAAGUUUUUACGCCACAUGAUUUUUUUUGCAUUUUUUUCACCUGCUUGUUAUUUCUUUGUUAGCGUGGUCAACUACCUCCUAAGCGAGCCACUAGCAGAUGUAAUCACCAUUAUUUUACUAAGCUUCUCAAGAAAAUACCUCCUCCAAGGAAGGAUGUUGUUACAGAUUAUGGUUUUAACUUUCUGCUUGAUUUUGAAUGCACAUUUGUCCCGAGAGGGUUUGCCCAGUGGGUAGCUAAUCGUGUCAACACUCCCACUGGUGACAUUGUCUUGAGUGAAGGUGUUAUUCCUAUGAGCCCAGAGUCUUUCCAUCUUUUGUUCGGUCUCCCUUUAGGUGGUAGGAAAGUCCUAUUUGAUAGUGAUAGUACCAAGGCUGCCUUUCUGAAUAUCAUUGGUGAACCAUCAUUGCCUUCAAUCAAGUGGUUUGGAACAAGGCUGUUAAAACCAGAUAUUUCUAAUGAUGAAUUCAUGAGGUGAUUUCUCCUUGUCGCUUUUGCAACUGUUCUCUGUCCAAAUUCAAACAUAUACCCUACUGCAAAAUAUUUGGGAAUCCUGAUCGAACCUUCUGAGGCUGGGCAUUUUGAUUUGUCAAAGUUUGUAUUUGAUUGGUUUGUGGCAUAUAUUCGCAAGUUCCAGAAAGAACCCAAGAAACCAGGUAAAGAAGAUGGUUUCACUACUUUGGGGGGAUGCAUUUAUGUGCUGGCUGUAAGUUUUCCUGCUCACUUUUUUUGUCAUUGUUGUUGUUGACAUUCUAAUCCAAUGUGCUUAUUUCUUUUAUGUGUUUUCAUACUUUCAGUGUUAUUACCUGGAUUUCCUUGAUUUCAGAUUGCGACGAGUGCCUGCUGGUUUGCCCAGGGUCAAGGCAUGGAAGAAUUCUUUAGUUAAAGAAUUUGCAAAUCUUGAUUGCAAAGGACCAAGGGAAUAUGGGUUGCGCCACGUAAAGAAAAUUUCUGGAACUUUAUAUUCCAUGGGUUGUGCUGGAUGCUAUGAAGAGCACUUGGAUUCUUCUCAUGAGUCUGUCAAAUUUAGGAGCCCACUUGACAAGACUGUUGGUGGUUUACUCCCUAGAUCUGUCAAAGAUUAGAUAUCUUUCAUUGCCCGACAGUUUCGUGCAAAUGCUGAUGAAAAGAGUGUUGAUGCAGCUUAGAAUAUGUUGUUUGAUUGUUUGAAUUGUAUUGUUUUAGCUACUACCCCUGAUCUAGAUCUUGACGACUCCAAAACAAACUCUACACACAAUCAUAGGAAUAAUCUCGCUGACAAUGAGUCUUCAAUUCUUAAGAGCGAUGGUAUAUAGCUUUCUUUUGUUUUGUGUGGUUCUUUAGUUAGCUU